UGUAUAAUGGGUCAGCGACUUAUAUUCUGUAGCAAGGUUAACCGUAUAGGGGAGCCGUAGGGAAACCGAGUCUUAACUGGGCGAAUGAGUUGCAGGGUAUAGACCCGAAACCCGGUGAUCUAUCCAUGGGCAGGUUGAAGGUUGGGUAACACUAACUGGAGGACCGAACCGACUAAUGUUGAAAAAUUAGCGGAUGACUUGUGGAUGGGGGUGAAAGGCCAAUCAAACCGGGAGAUAGCUGGUUCUCCCCGAAAGCUAUUUAGGUAGCGCCUCGUGAACUCAUCUUCGGGGGUAGAGCACUGUUUCGACUAGGGGGUCAUCCCGACUUACCAACUCGAUGCAAACUGCGAAUACCGAAGAAUGUUAUCACGGGAGACACACGGCGGGUGCUAACGUCCGUCGUGAAGAGGGAAACAACCCAGACCGCCAGCUAAGGUCCCAAAGUCAUGGUUAAGUGGGAAACGAAGUGGGAAGGCUCAGACAGCCAGGAUGUUGGCUUAGAAGCAGCCAUCAUUUAAAGAAAGCGUAAUAGCUCACUGGUCGAGUCGGCCCGCGCGGAAGAUGUAACGGGGCUAAACCAUGCACCGAAGCUGCGGCAGCGACACGUAGUGUUGUUGGGUAGGGGAGCGUUCUGUAAGCCUGCGAAGGUGUACUGUGAGGUAUGCUGGAGGUAUCAGAAGUGCGAAUGCUGACAUAAGUAACGAUAAUGCGGGUGAAAAACCCGCACGCCGGAAGACCAAGGGUUCCUGUCCAACGUUAAUCGGGGCAGGGUGAGUCGACCCCUAAGGCGAGGCUGAAAAGCGUAGUCGAUGGGAAACGGGUUAAUAUUCCCGUACUGGUGGUAACUGCGAUGGGGGAACGGAGAAGGCUAGGUUGUCCGGGCGACGGUCGUCCCGGUUCAAGCAGGUAGGCAGAGUGAUUAGGCAAAUCCGGUCACUUAAUGC
rnacentral:rRNA from 1 species